AAAGGAUGGUGAAGGGACAAAGCGUUGAGACAAAAAGCGGAGUAGUCAAUGGCGAUCAUCCAAGCCGGAACCAACUCUGUAUCAUGGUUGAUGCUCGAUUCGGAUUGCUCUCCCUGAAGCUUUGCAUUUUGUUUCUCAGCUGGCGGUCAAUCAGUUUGAAGAUCUGGUCCGUCGUUCGGAAAGUAUUUGUGUGGAGUCUGCUGUUCCUCUCGUUCCAAAUCCAAUACACCGUUGUCUGCCAAGCAAGGAGGAUUAGUAAUCUCUGUGCUGUCGGAGUUGAUAGGGUAGUCAUCUGCGCUAGUGAGUCCUGCCAUGUUCGAAUAGGCAAAAUCUGAAGGCGCCUCGCCACCAUGUUCCACAUAUCAUAACUGAAGGGGCAAGCAAAGAACAGAUGAUCUCUGCUUUUAUGAUUCUGGCUGCAAAGCAGACAUCGGUCAUCUACUUGUAAUCCCCAUUGAAUGAGUCUGUCUCUUGUUGGGAUUCUGUUCUGGAUCACUAGCCACAUGUGGAAGCUAUGUCGCGGGAUGGCCCUUAAAAUCCAGACAGCAGCAAACCAAUGGACAUCAGGGUGCGGUUGAGCAAGUUAGUUUCACAGUUGUCAGGUAGGAGUAGAGCUCAAUUUGCGCUUCAGUUCGAGCUGGGGGAAGGGUCCAGGAGCCAUUGGGACACAAAGAGGCAACUGUAGGCUUUUGCGGAAUGCCCAAUCUUGAGUUUCUACCUGAGAGAUGAGUGUAUAGGUCCCCAAACGAAGUCCAAUUAUCCGACCAAAACCGAGCUGUUUCUCCAUUUUGGAGCCUGAGCUUUAUCAAGGGAAAUACCACACUUUUCAGCUUGAGCAGUUUGUUUACUAGCCAGGAGUAGGCUUGCUUGGGGGUUGUUGUCCAGUAGUUAUGUACCGAGCCUUUAAGAAUCACCUCCUUGAACCAAGUUACCCAUACUGACUCAGGUCUGAAGAAGAGCAUCCAAACGAGUCUGAACAUACACGCCUUAUUCCAGGAAUUGAUUACGGAGAGAGUUUAUCCUCGCAAUGCAUGCUUUUGGCAAUAGAAAAGCAGAGCACCAGAAAGUAUUGAUUCCAGCGAUCACCAUUUUUAUAAGCAGCAGUCUUCCCGAGAAGGAGAGUGAUUUUACUGACCAUGGGGAGAACUUGGUCUUGAUUUGGUGAAUGAGAGGCUCAACACUCACAGGAGACAGCUUCUUAGAGUUUAACGGUACCCCCAAGUAGCGGAAUGGAAGCGAGCCUAGCACCAUACCCGUCGAAGUUUGAAUCAGAACUUGCUGAACGGAGCCAAUGGAACCAUCAAUGAAGAUCAGUAGAUCAUCAGCAAAGGAGAGAUGGGAAAGUGAAGUCCCUCAAGGCAGGAGAACAUGAACUCCCAAGAUAGUGUAUCAAACGCCUUCGCAAUGUCCACCUUAAUGGCAGGAAGUUUGUUGCAAAGAAAUUCUUGAUCGAGGCCAAUACUUCAACACCAAUGAAAUCCCAAGAGGCUUUGAAGAACGCAGAAGUGAGUCCGUCUGGGCACGGAGCCUUGUUAGGGUUCUGUUUGAAGAAAGUAGACUUGAUCUCUUCUUCCGUGGGGUGGUCAACAUCAGUUGGAGUAGAUGUUCAGGGAAAGAGAAGCCUGUGAGGUCUGCAAACCAAUCGGGGUGAGAGCGAAGCUGAGGCGGUUGAUAGUUAUGCGGUCCAAGUACUGACCGGAAAUGAUUUACAGCAUGAUCACUCAUCGCCUGUGGGUCCGUAAUCCAUGUAUCUCCAGUCAUAAAAGCUCUGAUAGCAGUAUAACACGCUCGUGUUUGGCAGAUUCUGUGAAAAUAAGUAGUGUUCAUGUCUCCUUCUCUGAGCCAGUUAAUGCGUGACUUUUGCCUGAAGAAGAUCUCCUCAAUCUCACGCAGGAAGUUCCAUUUUUGGUGUAGCUCGCGUUCUACUUGGAAGGUGAUUGGUGUUGGAUCUUGCAAAGCUUGUACCUACGUAAGUUGUAACAAACCGUUAGUCUCAUUAACUCUCUCUUGAAUCUUUGAAUAGUUUUCUUUGUUUAGGAGUUUUAAGUCUCGCUUAAUGAGUUUGAGCUUCCAGCACAGCUGCACUAGUGUUUGACACUCGUUUCCUGCAAGAAUCCAUGCGUCUUUUAGUAGCUUAGUGAACCCCGGAUGUUUGAUAAGGUAGUUUUGGAAUUUAAAUGGUUUUUUUCCGGCUGUAAGGAGGUUAAAGGCUAGGUCUAGGACACAUGGGGCGUGGUCUGAGAAAAGGGGAGGGAGAUAGGUGGCUAGGGCGUGCGGAAAGACAGACACAGAGGUAUUGUUGACCAACAAUCUAUAGAGUUUCUUUGAGAUUGGGCCAUAGGGCUGAGAGUUGGUCCAGGUAUGAGUAGCACCAAUGUAUCGGAGAUCAAAGAGACCAAGUUGCAUCAUACAAUCCCGAAGCUGGCACAUGAGAUAAUCAGGCCCAUUGAUGUUAGGAUCAGAAUGUUCCGAGGGGUGCAUUAUCUGAUUCAGGUCACCUCCUAAAAACUAGCAGCUACUGUCUAAGUCGUAGGUUGAUUGAAGUUGAAGGAGUUUAGUCCAAAGAUCAACCCUUUCCGAGCUUAGAUUAGAAGCAUAGAUAAUAGAUUAGUAGACUGGAGGCUUAUUGGGAAAGAAUAACUUGCAAGUUAUGCAUUGGCGACUCUGAGCUAGGACUUGAACUCUUAGGGUGUCCCUCCAGAUAAGAAUGAUUCUACCAUCCGGAUCAGAGGAGUGAUUGGAGGUAAAGUUCCAGUUCGGGCAGAGGGAGAAGAGAAUAGGGCUAAGGGAAGGCUGUUUAAUAUGUGAUUCUAUUAUAGCUCCAAAAAGAGGCUUGUUAGAACUAAGCCAAGUACAAAAAGAUCUAUGCUUGGUCGGGUCAUUUAGGCCUCGAACAUUCUAAAAAAAGAGUUUGACACUCAUCAGGCGGUAGGUUGAGGAUCCUACGAGGGAAUGGAGGGACCUCGAGAAAAAGAGCUAGAAGAGUUAAGCAAAAGAGUAGAAGGCGAAACAGUCAAGGAAAUGGUUUGAGAAGGGUUGGGAGGGUGAAAAAGUGAGGGGUCAGGGAGGGCGAUGGACGCAGAGAAGGGGUUUGAGUUUGUGGUUAAGGGAGGAGAGAGGGUUGGUGAUGAACGAGAUCUUUUUAGAGAAGGUCUUUUGAUAGGUUCAGGUGUAAGAAAAAGGUUUGAUGGUUUAAGAGGCGGGAUGAAAGAGGGGUUUAGAGAGCGAGAUGAGGUUUUGUGAUGAGAUGGGUGAGACAGUGAGAGUUGGUUUUCAGAGGGUGGAGGAAGUGUUGUAUUUUCAGGCUCAGAGAUAGGUGAAGGAGGGGGAGCGGGAGCAGAAGCUACCACUUCAGAAGAAACCAUCUGAGAGGCAGCAGCUGCAGAGUUCUGAGCAUCAGAUUCAUUUGGUGGAGGCGCAUAAGAGAGGCAGUUGCGAACUAUAUGGCCAAGCUCGUGGCAGUGCGAGCAAGUUGGAGGAACCCACAGAUAAUGAAUUGAGACUUCAACAACCUCGCCAUCUUCCCUUUCAAAUUCAACAACACUAGGAAGCGGCUGCGUAAGAUCUACCUCCACUUUGACAUGCGAUAAGGUCUAGAGGUACUCCAGUGAGAUGAGCCCAGAUCUUUAUAACCUUGAGAGGUGGAGUAGAUUUUGAGUGAGCCGAUGACCAUUGCGCCGUGUGGAACAUUGAGUCCCCAACAUACCAGAUACUCUUCUCAAGAAUCUUCUCUCUAAGAGUCAGGGAUAAAAAUUCGUGGGUGAUCAUUUGCUCCAAUGGUAACUGGAGCAAUCCUUCUUAGAGUCUUAUCUUCAGACCUCCGGAUUCUCUCAACCAGGGUGGGGACGUUUACAUCUUUUGGAGGUGGAAAUGUGGAGUUACAGUCUAGGGUUUCGUUCUGAGUUAUUGGGUUAGGGUUAUGAUUUCGUAAGGGGAGCAAAGGGUUUGAGGAGGAGGCUUUAUUGGUUUGAAGAGGAGAAGUAGUUUUGGGUGGGAGAGUUUUUAAAGUUUGGCUACGGUUGAGCUCAGAUUGAAGCUCAUGAACAGUGACGUUACCAUAUCCAUGAGCAGGAGCAGUGGGGGGCAUGACUACAUCAACUACUUGUGAAGCAGCUUCAAUACUCUCAGUUUUAGCUGAGGCCAUAACGAUAUAGCAGUUGGGGGGCUGGCUCCUUUACAUACUGUAGAGGAAGUUACAGAUCUAUAAAAAGUUUUUACAGAUUUUUGGACAGUCUUUGCUUCAGAAAGGGAAGGGAAGUUGUUUGGAGAGAGAGGGGAGGAGGGAUCAGGAGGGUCAGGGAGGGCGGGCAGAGGGUCAGGGGAUUCACCAGCAGCUUCAGACGGAGGAUUCCGGCCAGAAACGUGGCCAUGGACACGCCAUACACUGUGCAUCGAAGUUUGUGUCAGAGAGCUUUUGACAAUUUUUUUUUUAUUAAAACAAUUUUUGUCGACUACUACAAAAUCUUUGUUAUUCGAUUUCUUAUGGUCUAUUGUUAUGAUGUGUAUCGUCAAUUUAUCUUUUGUUUAGCAAUGUUUCAGUCUAGUGGUUUUGAUGUAUUAU